ACUGCUGGGCGGGGCUGGAUCCCGAGUAACCGAUCCUCCCCUCAGAGGAGGUGCUGAACUCAAGAUUCCUCCUAAGAACCUACUCUGGGACAACAUGUAAACUGAAGACCAGCCGAGACAUCCAGCCUUGUGGAACCGAGCAACUUCUGAAUUCUUGAACUUUCUGUUCACAGCCAGCGGUUGUUGGAUUAGCUAGACUGCAGCCUGUAAGUCAUUCCAAUAGAUCCAAUGACUCUCCACAGAGAUUAGUUCUAUAAGUUCUGUUACUCUAGGGAGCCCUGACUGGUACAGCUCCUAUACCUGAAGUCUUCAAAAACUUAAAUACGAAGUAAAUGUUUGUCCGUGGAGAACUUUGUAUUUUGUACUUUGGGGUUUAUCCAAACAGAACAAUGGCUUCUCUGGACGCAGAGCACACAAGUGGUAGGAAGAGUCUUAAGAACUUCCUGCCCUGACUAAAGGCUGAACCCAGGCUAUAAAGUGAUUGUUUUGCAAGCAUUCAGAUCUGAGGAUGAUCCUCAGAACCCAGUGGAAAAUUCCAGGAGCGGUGGAGGUGUGCUUGUAUUCCUCUGUUGGGGAGGCAGAGACAGGCCGACCCCUCGGCCUUUCUAACCAACCAGUCUGGGAUGAGCAGUGAGCUCCAAGGUGAACCAAAGGAAGAGAAAGUUUCUUGAGCCCCCACAUAACGGGAGAACAAAGUGAGGUGCUGAGAAGAGAGCUCUCCCCCUGGGUUAGAGCUCUUGCUCUCACACAGUAAAACUCAUGUCUAAAGGGCCCAUCCAUAACUCUCCAACGACCUCAUUUUUAUAACCCUAAAACUUUCCAUCGCUGACUUGAUAUAUACUGAAAAUUGUAGCCAUGUGGGGUCAAACAUGGACCGCUGCCUCAGGACAGGUGAAUUUAAAUACCCGGUUGUAGAGUAGCCCACGUCAAAGGUGUCGAGACCUCGGUUCCCCGUUAUAAAUGCCUUCACAAUGUUUUAGAUAAAAAACAAAAUGUGUUAUGUAUCUCUGUGUGGAUUCGAGUACAUGAGUGUAGUUGUUUUUGGAGUCCAGAAGAAGGGAUCAAAACCUUUGGAGCUAGAGUUACAAGUGUUUGUGAUCUGACAACUACCAAGAGCCAGUUUUCUAGCCACCCUUUCCAAUGUUUUAAAUAAACAAGAGUAGCUAACUGUAUUAUUUGACUCUCCUGGACAGUGUGUUCUGCCUUGAGUUCCUGCCCUAACUUUCUUUCAUGAUAGGCUAUAAGUUGUAAAAUGAAAUAAACCCUUUCCUUCCCAA